UUGGGGCAUUGGUCUUUGCAGCGUUAAUGCUUUUUGCUGGUUGGUUUCAUUAUCAUAAAGCGGCGCCAAAAUUGGCUUGGUUUCAAGAUGUAGAAUCUAUGCUGAAUCACCAUUUGGCAGGGCUACUAGGACUUGGGUCUCUCUCUUGGGCGGGGCAUCAAGUACAUGUAUCUUUACCGAUUAACCAAUUUCUAACCGAAUAUUCAGGUAUCAAAUUUGGUUUAUUUUACAUUGCUUCAUAUCUGAAUCUACUAGUUUCUUCAUUAUUUGUAACAGUUCUUUAUUUGGGAGGUUGGAAUCUUUCUAUUCCGUACAUAUUUGUUCCUGAGCUAUUUGGCAUAAAUAAAAGGGGUAAAGUCUUUGGAACACUAAUUGGUCUUAAAGUCUAUACNNNNNNNNNNNNCACCCCAAUUCAUACGACAAUGGAAGAUCCUUAGACAUAAUAGCCCUCAUUACAGGAACAAGGGAUAUGGAACUAACUAAGGAUCUUAACAUGUGAGAGGAGACAGGAAAAAAGUCCUUAGUCACUCCGCGUACGAAGAACCGCUUAGCAAACUCCAAAGCACCAACUGACGAUACUAACGAUUUCUCUAACGAAAAUGGAACAUUCAGUGGCGAAAUUAGCUCGCGAUAACGCUCAGCCACCCGCCCUAUAUUAUGUCUAUUUUUGUUUAUUCACGAAAUUUAUAUAAAUUUCCCUUUAUCAAUACCACUUUUAUUUGAAUCCCAGAUUUCCUAUGAUUGAUACCCUUUACUGAUUUCAUGUGAUGAUAUUCUGUGUUGAUUUCCGAAUUCUAAAUUAUCUUCUUGCCUUAUUAUGUAGUUGAGUACAUUAUUUACUGAUUCAUAAUAUUGUUUCCUUAAUUAGGACUUUCUGAACCUAGCCCUAAUUACCUGUUCUAUACUUGCAUUGUUUGAAGUCUUUACUUAUUUGUUAUACUCCAGCUAUAUAUGAUUUUUUUCCUUACUUGUCAUCUGCUCUUUACAGUUUGAAUAAUUCCCUUAAUUAAGGGAAGACUUGGACUAAUUUUACUCUGAGUUCUAUAAUUACUGAACAAUUUUGAUUCUUAACUUAUUUACCUAGCUUUCAAACUACUAUAUAUAUUGCUCUCUUCUACAGUCUUACAGACAUAUGAACUCACAUUAGUUCACAUCUCUCAUACACUCAAAAGCUUUUCUGCUUUCUUUUGUUACUUACUAUUGUUACUAAAUUAGUCUGCUGCAAGCCAAGGCUAAUUAUUACACUCUCAUGUUUUUCACCUUGUGUUUACUCUCUUUACUGGUAUGUUCUGAUUUUAAAUUCAAGCUCUCAAACCAAUAUGUUUCCUACUGCUUUAGUUUAUCAUAUUCCUAAUCUGUUUCUAUCUAUUGUUUUGUUGUUCAACAUGUAAUUGACCUAUUGCUCCACUUAGCUUGUUAGUUAUGUCCUACCCCUUUCUAAGAUCAGCAUGGCUUACGAACUUGUAGUCUGUCUAAAAUUAACUCUACCCUGUUUUUGAAUGUUUGUUUACUUGCUAUUUAGUCUCUAGUAUGAACCUUUCUUUGCAAAGCAAUUUUUGUUACUCUAAGUUGUCCGAUUCUAUGUUGGUUCUGAAAUUUUUACUGUAUUGUAUCAUUAGUUAUCCCCCAUCCGAUGAACCCCCUAAAUCACCUCUGAUUCUAUAGCUAUAUUUAGCACCCCUGAAUCCGUGUCUUACUAUUUGCACUAUUAGCUACCCCCUUAAUUGCAAAGACUUCUGUUUACGUCUAUUAUGUGUUCCCAGCCCCAAUUACCCCAGUGUGAAGGGUUGUUAUUUGAGUGUUGCUAAACCUAUUUUGGCUCUAUGUUUGAUCUGAUGUUUGUGUGAUUACACAACUCUUGUCAAAAAUUGUUUUACUGAACAAUUCUCCUAUUUUAUAAAACUACUUCAACUGAGUCUUUUUCAAAUACUACUUUCCUAUUAAAACCUUUUCAAAACUAUGUCAAGCACUCUCACUCUACUCUUAGGUCCUUAAGUUCUGCCCCUCCGGUGUGUGACUGCCUUGGGAUCCCUGUGAGAUCCCUCUAAACUAUGAUGCACUGGAGCUGGCUCUUCCAUACUGCACUUACUCAAUUAUGGUUAUGAAGUCUGGGUAUGAGCACUGCCCGGGGUCCUUUGGGUCCUUAGGGAGCUCUAAUACACCCGUACAUAAUAAAGGCUAUGAAACUUUGGCAUAUGAGGCUAUGGACAGUUUGGUAUAUUUGGGCCUGCUUCAGGCUCCCUAUAGUGUAACUUCUUCUUUUUCUUUAUCUAUUUAUGUAAUUUAUUCAGCUGGUCUGUAAUAAUUAUUUGUAAACGAAUAUUGGGGAUGACUAGUGAAAUGGGGAGGGUAGUUAUAUAUUUCUAUCAAUAUCAUUGGGGUAGAAAGCAUGUUAUAGGCUUUACCUUAUUUAUGCUUGCCAUAGAAUCCUUUCUUUAGGACCAAUACAUUGAAAUUGUGUCAUGCACUAGAUAUUAUGCUCUUAGGUUUCACGUAUACUGCUUCAGCAUCUCAUUUGACACUAAUACAUGUUUAUCAC
rnacentral:lncRNA from 1 species